UGUUCCUUGCAUGAACCUCUACCGAAGUUAUUCAAAGAAUCAAAAUUCCAUACACAUUACAAAAACUCUUCUUGUAAAAAUAGAAAGAGCUAGAGCGUAGAUAUUUGGCAUGAAACAUCUUCCAGUGGAUGUCUACCAAGUUUGUUAAAAAACAGCCCCAGGGUCAAAAUUGGCCGCCCCCCAGGGGUCAUUGAUUUUCCUUUUAUGUACAAGGGGUGUUCCAAAAUUAAUGUUACUUGGCUUCUGUCUCGAGGAAAUCGUGCUAUAUGUACUCAAAUCCAAUAGAUGUCGAUAGCGUGAAACCUGGAGAGUAGUAUUGGUCAAUUUCUCGCUCACAAUUACACUGUCUUAAUGGUUCUGUGUCCAUUGUUUUACAGCGUACUUGUUACACUCAAAUAUGGUUGGAAAAAAAGAGCUGAUAACAUGAUUGAAAUUAGGGCCUAUAUCAAAGGUAGGUCUCUGCUUGGCUUAAAGCAAAAGGGUAUUCAUUGCGAGGUGUGUGUUAUUUAUGGGGAGGUUCAAGUGUCGUAUAUGACUGUUUGUAGGUUGGUUGGUCGAUUUAAGUCGGGACACCAGCAGCUGAAAGAUGCUGCUCACACAGGCGGCCCUGCAACAACAACGACAAAACAUAACCUUGAAAGAAUUCGACAAAUCCUGAAGAAAGACACAAGGUAUACUGUCAGGCAGUUAGCUAGAAUGACAAACUUGCUUUUAGCAUGUGUUCAUUGCAUUUUGAAGAAACAUCUUUGGCUAGUUGGAUAUUACAUUUACUAACUGACAACCAAAAGAGGUCCCAAGUUGGAAAGGCCAAACUUUUGUUGAAAAAAUAUCCGAAAUACAGGAAAAAGGCUUUCGAAAAUUUGGUCACAGGUGACGAAACAUGGGUGUAUUUUUUCGAACCAAAACGAAAAUGCUCUGGUCAAAUCUGGGCCACCAAAAAUGCAAGGCGCCCUAGCAUUGCUAAAAGAAUACGAACCCUGAAAAAUGUUUUGUAAGUAAUAUUCUUAAAUAACAUGGGCCAGUCGUGCAAAUUGCGGUGCCAAAAGGUAGAACUGUCAACGGCAAUUACCAUAGAGACAUUGUACUUCGCAAACUUAAGAAACACUUUAAACACCGCUGCCCACAAAUAGGUUUGAAGUACCUCAGACUCUUGCAUGACAAUGCGCCAGCUCACAAGGCACAAAUUGUAACGGAGUUUUUGAAGGGGGAAAUGGUGACUGUCCUCCCUCACCCGUCUUUUUCACCAGACCUACAUGUUGCCCCCUGUGACUAUUUCUUGUUCUCGAAACUUAUAUUUCACCUGUCUGGAAGAAAAUACAAAUAAAGAAAUGCUCUGGGCUCUGUCUGAUGAGUAUACCCAUUGAAGAGUACCAAAACUGUUUCAAAAAGUACCAUCUAGAUUGAUUGGCUGAAAACGUGCAUUAGGGUAGAUGGGGAGUACUUUGAGGGGCAGGACAAAUUAAAGUGAUCUUAACGACUUAUAUUGAAGAGAAAACACAAAAGUAACAUUAACUUUGGAGCACGUCUUGUAUAUACACAAUCAUGUAGUAAAAACUAAAUAAAAUCUUCUUGUGAAAAUCCUUAAGAGCUAAAGUGUAGAUAUUUGGCAUGAAAAAUCUUCUUAAAAGUGAAUGUCUACCAAGUUUGUUCAAAUAAAAGCCCUAGGGUCAAAAUUGGCCCAGCCCCAGGGGUCAUUGAUUUUCCUUAUAUGUAUAUAGUAAAACUUUAAAAAAUCUCCUCAUGAAACUCCAAAAGAGGUAGAGCUUAGAUAUUUGGCAUGAAGCAUGUUCUAUGUUUGUUGAAAUAAAACCCCUAGGGUCAAAUUGGCCGGAGGUUAACAGUUCAAUCCCCAGCCAGGUCAAUGUUUGUUUUCCUUCUCUUUUUCUGUCAUCUUUUUAUUAGCUCACCUCUCACUUAGUGACAGGCUGAACUGUUUAAUAAAAUGGCUGCCUGAGAGCUAAAAUUAGUAAACAACAACAUCUGAACCACUAGUUCAGUUUUAAAAUACAUUUGUAGCUAGUUUAACACAAAAAUUUCCUUGGUGACAGUACACAAAAAAUUGUUCAGAUUAAGCUGUUCCUUGUUUUCAAAUUGUGCUUUCUAUGCUACUGCGUUACUAACCAGUAAAGGCUAUUUUUGAAUAUUUUGACAUCAUGUUGGUAAUUUACAUAGGUUGUGAGUGAUGUUUGUAAUGUGUAAAUUGCUUUUUUUUUGGUAACUUUACACACUUUUCUUGUAACUACAUUUUCACAAUUUUCAUGAAAGUUAGCAUGAAUCUGGAGGGUGCUGGUUUAAAGUCAACGUCCAUAUUAAUAUUGGUUUGAGGUAGGGUCACAAUAUGACACAGGUAUGAAACUGCAGCAUAGUGUCUGUUAUAACCAUUUGUUUCAUUUCAUUUUGGUUUCAUUCUACUAGAAGGUCUUGUUUGAUUUUAAUGGUCCAGAUCAAGCAAGGUUAAAUGGAGUUAUAGCCCUAGAAGGAGCAAGACCAGCAAUAAUUUACCAAUUUUUCAACAAAAUGGCUUUAUAAUGUUGGAUGGAUACAAAAUCUGCAGGCACUGGUUUGAUUUUUUAGCUCACCUGAUCUUGCUCAGGGUGAGCUUUUAGGAUCGUUGAAUAUCUGUCAUCCGUCCACACUUGUUCGUUAACACUCUAGCGGUCACAUUUUUGCCUCAGUCAUCAUCAAACUUUGUCACAGGAGCUAAAAAUAGAAAAACUUUGUUAAAACUCUAGCGGUCACAUUUUUGACUUAAUCAUCAUCAAACUUGGUCAGGAUGCUUGUCUAGUUGAUAGCUCAGAUGACUUCGAACAUGGGUCAUUUCGGAUCAAAAACUAGGUCACCAGAGCUAAAAAUAGAAAAACCUUGUUAACACUCUAGCGGUCACAUUUUUGCAUCAAUCAUCAUCAAACUUGGUCAGGAUGCUUGUCUAGGUAAUUGCUGGGAUGAGUUCGAACAUGGGUCAUCUCAGACGAAAAACUAGGUCACAGGAGCUAAAAAUAGAAAAAUCUUGUUGACACUAGUGGUCACAUUUUUGGCUUGUUGGCUUGCAGCCACUUGUUUUGAAUAACUUGUUCCGGUAAGGUGGUUUCCUGUUUCCACUUGUAAGUGCAUGAUUGAACGGGCAACCAGCUGCAAUCGUGCCAAUCGCAACUUUUCGGCCUUUUCCGUCACUCUUCGGAUUAAUGAUAAUAGCCGAUGUAGUUCCAAUUGCAAUCGUGACAAUUCGGGCGAUUCCGUCAUACUGCGGAAUCAGACGAAGUAAUAUUACGGAAAUUUAAGCUAUUUUAGUUACUUCGGUAAUCCCAGUUUGUUUAUAUAAAUAGGAUUUCUAUUUUUACUUGAUUUAUCGGCUUAAAUCGUAAUAAAUUAUAAACGUAAUUGUUCCGUUUCAAUUGUUUUUCAAGACGCAAAAGUUAGUUUCUUUUAUAAUUGUUUUUUGUCUGUAUUAGUUUUAUACAAUAGAUAAUGGUGACUGUAGUAGUAUUCCGUCUUCAAAGGGUGGUCCUGCUUACCAAAUCACGCAUGAUCGAGUUAUAUUUAGAUCUACUGAACGCAAUUCAACUUCUUGGUGAGGUAAUCUAAAAAAAGCCCAUGCAUAUCAUUAACCUUGCCACGAUAGCGCAUCGUAUUUGUGAUCGUGUAACAUAGUUGAUACAUGCUUAUUAAUUGGUACCACGUAACGAAGUAUUUUAGUGCAUUUUUACUUGUCUAUAAAGCAAACGAAUGAUUUCUCUGCGAAAAAGGGGAAAUGAAAUGUGCACACUUGAUUCACCAUUGAUCAUUUUCUUUAUUAGUUUUAUACAAUAGAGAAUAGAUUUCAAAUCGUUUUGACAAAAAAUAUUCGUUUUUCCCCCAAAAAAAACCCAACAACUAAAUAAACCCUUUAUGAUAUACAAAUACCGUAAUUCAAAAAAAUUGUGAUAAUAAAUUGAAACAAAAAAACAUUUUUUUAAAGGGUUUGGAUGAAGGCACAACUGUGCAAGCCUUUCCUUUUAAAAGGAAACUUUAUUGACUUAAUUAUCAUCAAACUUAGUCAGGAUGCAUGUCUAGGUAAUUGUUCGGAUGAGUUCGAACAUCUCGGAUGAAAAACUAGGUCACAGGAGCUAAAAUUAGAAAAAUCUACGCUCAUUGUCUAUAUAAAUACAAAACAUAAACCACAAAAGUCAAAUCAAAUAUAGCAUGAAUACAUAUGUGAUGAGAGAUAAAUAAGCUUUGUCAAUAACAUUUUAUGUGUGACAAAAACUAAUAGUCAUAAGUACAAUUCGUCACAGUUUCAUUACUCUGACAAUUUCUAAAUAUCACAUACUAGUAUUUGAGUGUUUUUUUUUAACAAUAUGUCUCUAAUGAAGGUAAUACAAACAUACAAAUUAUAGCAGUUAGUUGGAUCUGAUUUUUAUAGCACAACUAAGAUAACAUGCUAAUUUGUUUAGUUACUGACAUUAAUUCAAGAAAUUUGAACAUGCUAAUAAUAACUGUCUAUGCAACAUUCCUGAUCCAUCUAUACUUUGGACACAUAAUAUCAAAAUGGAAGUCAUCUUCAAUAUCAGAAGAAUUACAUAUUUCACAACGUCUUUCAAUUCUAUUUUGUCCAUACCUUCCUGUUUGGAUGCGUAACAUGUGAGCGGAUAGUCUAAUUUUGUAAUAAGUUGUCUAAAUAAUAUGUUUUUAAAGAUCCUGUAUGCUGUAAUUAAGAUUGUUACACUUUUGAGUGAAAUUUUAUAUAUAUGUAUAUAUAAUAUGCUUCGAAAACAAUUUUCAAACAUCGAAGAAUAUGUAAAAUAUGUACUGCAAAAAUUUGGCCACAUUAUACAUGUAUGUUAUAUUUAUAAUAUAAAACCAUAAAAAAUGAGUUACAGGAUCUUUAACAUUAUGUAUUUUUCGUAUCCUUUUUGGGAAGAAAAUGAGCAUUUAAUUUAAAUUAUUUGAUUAAUAUAGGUAUCUAUUGGCUGAAUAAUGCUAAAUCUAAUAACACAUAUGCAUGGUACCUGAUAAUUUAAAGUGUAAUAAAAUCAAAACUACAUGGUUAAGGUAUUUUUUAGAAGAUCAACAAAUAUACUUUUGAGAAAAUUUAGGUAUGAAACUUUGAAAAUAGGCACACAUUUUGGUAAAUUUUAUUGACCUUGAUCCUUUUUGAUCUUGUUUAUCAUAUUUUAGGAAUUUUUGAAAUUAAGCUUUCUAAGUAUAGAAAAAUGGUCAAACACGUGUUAAAAUGGGUGGGUAGGGUAACAUUUUUGUGUCGCCUUGAAAAAGGCGAUAUACAGGGGUUACUUUUGUAGUCGUCGUUGUCGGCGUGCCCUUAAGCUUGUCCGGAGCAUAAGUCAGUCAUUAUAAGUUGGAUUGACUUCAAACUUGGUAUGCAUGCUUCUUAUAAUGACCCGAAGUGCAGUGCACAAGAACCGGUACUUUGCCCUUUUUUUUGAGUUAUUGCCCUUUGUUAAUUUUCAUACUUUAUUUUUGUCCGGGCCAUUUCUCCUAAAGUAUAAAAUCUAUGGACUUGAAACUUCAUAGGAUGAUAGAUCUCAUUAAGAAGAAGUGCAGUGCACAAGUACUGGUACUCUGCAUUUCUUAUUUUUUGAGUUACUGCCCUUUGUUAAUUUUCAUAUUUUAUUUUUGUCCGGGCCAUUUCUCCUAAAGUAUAAAAGCUAUGGACAUGAAACUUCAUAGGAUGAUAGAUCUCAUUAAGAAGAAGUGAAGUGCACAAGUACUGGUACUCUGCAUUUCUUAUUUUUUGAGUUACUGCCCUUUGUUAAUUUUCAUAUUUUAUUUUUGUCCGGGCCAUUUCUCCUAAAGUAUAAAAGCUAUGGACAUGAAACUUCAUAGGAUGAUAGAUCUCAUUAAGAAGAAGUGCAGUGCACGAGAACUGGUACUCUGCAUUUCUUACUUUUUUAGUUAUUGCCCUUUGUUAAUUUUUAUACUUUAUUUUUGUCCAGGCCAUUUCUCAUAAAUUAUAAAAGCUUUAGACUUAAAACUUAAUAGGAUGAUAGAUCUUAUUGAUAAGAAGUGCAGUGCACAGAAACUGCUGCUCUGCAUUUCUUAUUUUUUGAGUUAUUGCCCUUUGUUGAUUUUCAAAUUUUAUUUUUGUCGUGGCCAUUUCUCCUAAACUAUAUUGUUCACAAGGCGACACACCCGACUCGCGGAGUUCUAGUUAUACAUACAUGUUUUUCAUAAAUUUUGAGUAGAUAACAAUCAUUUUGGUUAUGUGGAUUGUUAGCUGGAUGUUACUUCUUGUUUCUUACCAAAAUUAAAUUGAAAAACAUUUUUCAUAA